GCACGGUUGGCGCAGUGGUCUAACGCAUCACUCGACAUGUGGGUUGAAAUCCCCAGCGAACCAUCUUGUCAAAGACCGCGAUUUCUGGGGGGCCACAAGCAAAUGCUCAAGCAUUUAAGUGUAGAGUCUGAAACAGAGUGAGGACCCGGGUUCGAAUCCCGGACCGUGCG